rnacentral:snoRNA from 1 species
GGUGUGGAUGAUGAAAACAUGACCUUAGGUAGGUUUUUAUUUGGGCCGUUUUGGUUCAAAGCUUUGGACCUACCGAUGUUAGGAUUUGUCAUAGUUACACUGACACGCU